GCAGCUGAUCCAGCAAUGCCGCGUGAGUGAUGAAGGCCUUAGGGUUGUAAAGCUCUUUUACCCGGGAUGAUAAUGACAGUACCGGGAGAAUAAGCCCCGGCUAACUCCGUGCCAGCAGCCGCGGUAAU
rnacentral:rRNA from 1 species